GGGAGUUUAGCUCAGUUGGGAGAGCAUCUGCCUUACAAGCAGAGGGUCGGCGGUUCGAGCCCGUCAACUCCCA
rnacentral:tRNA from 1 species